rnacentral:rRNA from 1 species
CACGUAGGCACCAAGCGUUAUCCGGAUUUAUUGGGCGUAAAGGGCUCGUAGGCGGCCAACUAAGUCGGACGUGAAAUCCCUCAGCUUAACUGGGGAACUGCGUCCGAUACUGGAUGGCUUGGAUUCGGGAGAGGAAUGCGGAAUUCCAGGUGUAGCGGUGAAAUGCGUAGAUAUCUGGAGGAACACCGGUGGCGAAGGCGGCAUUCUGGACCGACAUUGACGCUGAGGAGCGAAAGCCAGGGGAGCAAACGGG